UAGGGAAUCUUCGGCAAUGGACGAAAGCCUGACCGAGCAACGCCGCGUGAGUGAAGAAGGUUUUCGGAUCGUAAAACUCUGUUGUUAGAGAAGAACAAGGACGUUAGUAACUGAACGUCCCCUGACGGUAUCUAACCAGAAAGCCACGGCUAACUACGUGCCAGCAGCCGCGGUAAUACGUAGGUGGCAAGCGUUGUCCGGAUUUAUUGGGCGUAAAGCGAGCGCAGGCGGUUUCUUAAGUCUGAUGUGAAAGCCCCCGGCUCAACCGGGGAGGGUCAUUGGAAACUGGGAGACUUGAGUGCAGAAGAGGAGAGUGGAAUUCCAUGUGUAGCGGUGAAAUGCGUAGAUAUAUGGAGGAACACCAGUGGCGAAGGCGGCUCUCUGGUCUGUAGCUGACGCUGAGGCUCGAAAGCGUGGGGAGCAAACAGG
rnacentral:rRNA from 1 species